CAAGUAUCAUAAUGACAAAGUAUCAUAAUGACAAAGUAUCAAAAUGACAAAGUAUCAUAAUGACAAAGUAUCAUAAUGACAAAGUAUCAAAAUGACAAAGUAUCAUAGUGACAAAGUAUCAUAAUGACCAAGUAUCAUAAUGACAAAGUAUCAUAAUGACAAAGUAUCAAAAUGACAAAGUAUCAUAAUGACAAAGUAUCAAAAUGACAAAGUAUCAUAGUGACAAAGUAUCAUAACGACCAAGUAUCAUAAUGACA
rnacentral:lncRNA from 1 species